GGCGAACGCUGGCGGCGUGCUUAACACAUGCAAGUCGAACGGAAAGGCCCUGCUUUUGUGGGGUGCUCGAGUGGCGAACGGGUGAGUAACACGUGAGUAACCUGCCCUUGACUUUGGGAUAACUUCAGGAAACUGGGGCUAAUACCGGAUAGGAGCUCCUGCUGCAUGGUGGGGGUUGGAAAGUUUCGGCGGUUGGGGAUGGACUCGCGGCUUAUCAGCUUGUUGGUGGGGUAGUGGCUUACCAAGGCUUUGACGGGUAGCCGGCCUGAGAGGGUGACCGGCCACACUGGGACUGAGAUACGGCCCAGACGCCUACGGGAGGCAGCAGUGGGGAAUAUUGCACAAUGGGCGGAAGCCUGAUGCAGCAACGCCGCGUGCGGGAUGACGGCCUUCGGGUUGUAAACCGCUUUCGCCUGUGACGAAGCGUGAGUGACGGUAAUGGGUAAAGAAGCACCGGCUAACUACGUG
rnacentral:rRNA from 1 species